rnacentral:lncRNA from 1 species
UUUCAAUAACACUAUAUUUCAAUAUAAUUAUUUUCUUUUAUAAUCCUAAUUUUUUAUUUAAAAAAUUUUUUUAAAACCUUACCUUUCAUCUUAGAAUUGAUACUGUACAUUGGUUCCAAGGCCGAAAAAUGGUAACUUGCCAAGGAAAUAUCCAAAGCCAGAUUGGUAUCCAGGACCUCCUGUCUCUAAGCCUGCUGCUCCAUCCUCUGAGCCACCUAGCUGUACCCCCUUUAAUUUUUUUUUAAUUUUAUACACUUAUAAAACAUUAUUCUGAAGGGGUCCAUAUGCUUUACCAGUUUGCCAAAGGGGUCUGUGACCACUAAAAAGGUUAAGAACUCCUGAUCUAGUCUAACUCCCUCACUUUAUAGAUGAAGAAACAGAAACUCAGAAUGGUUAUCACUUGCUCAGGGUCAUCCAGGAAAUUCUUUAGUGAUAGAGAUGGGACCAGAACCUUAGCCACCUAACUCCAAGUGCCACUUUCCUUUCUCUACAUCUCAUUGCCUGGCCAAGCAACAAGAAGGCAGAGAAUUUGGACUAUGGGGGAACACAAGCCUGUGCGGUCACAGGCCAAAUAAUUACUACAGUAUUAGCUUAUGUAAGUGGAUAGGAGGCCAAUGCCAACGUGUGUUUAUGUUGCAGAAUGUAGCAAAAAGAAUCUCUUCUGGAUGAACCAGUAUGCCUCCAAAACAGAGCAGCCUGUUCCAAAGCAAUCAUCACCACAUGUCCAGUUGUACCACAAAGAGAACAGUGGCCAAAGGAAAUUUCCCAGAGAAAGAAGUUCAUUGAGUAGAGUCCAUCAGCAUGCCUUGCUCAUAGGCAGCAUUUCAGUAAAUACAAU